UUUUUGCUGCAGGAUGGCCAUCUUAAGGUCUGCUAUAGUGUGGCCAGGGAGGUUGAAGUGUUCUCCUACACGUUUUUGUAUAUUGUAUAUUUUGGAAGGUUUUUGU